AGCGUUAGUUACUGUUAACCUUGUCAGCCCACGUACGAUAGUUUGAUAGUUAAAAUGUCCAUGUUACUAAUCUCAUCGGACUGUCAAUAAACGGCAUCGUCCGUUAAUAGUGUAAAAAACAAAUAGCGGACAAAUGAAAUAGGGAAACAAAUGAAAUAGCAGGGAAACUAAAGAAAUAGCAGGGAAACUAAAUGAAAAAAGCAGGGAAACUAAAUGAAAAAGCAGGGAAACUAAAUGAAAAAGCAGGGAACUAACGAAAAGCAGCGGAAACUAAAUGAAAAAGCAGGGAAAAACUAAGAAAUAGCAGGUAACUAAAUGAAAAAGCAGGGAAACUAAAUGAAAUAGCAGAAACUAAUGAAAUAGCAGGGAAACUAAUGAAAAGCAGGGAAACUAAAUGAAAACGCAGGGAAACUAAAUGAAAAGCAGGGAAACUAAAUGAAAAAGCAGGGAAACUAAAUGAAAAAGCAGGAACUAAUGAAUCAAAAAUGAAAUAGCAGGGAACUAAAUGAAAUAGCCGGGAAACUAAAUGAAAUAGCAGGGAAACUAAAUGAAAUAGCAGGGAAACUAAAUGAAAUAGCAGGGAAACUAAAUGAAAUAGCAGGGAAACUAAAUGAAAUAGCAGGGAAACUAAAUGACAAACGUGCUAAUGAGCCCCGUGACAGCGGCCUAGCGUCAGCUGGCUCGCCCCGUAAAGCGUUCACCUUUGGGUCAGGCUAACAGAGUUGCAGAGCUCAAAACGGAAAAACAACCGAGACAGCUUACUUUAUACAAGUAACUAAAGUUGCCUAACUAGCUAGUUAAGAUUUUCACUACCAAUAAACUUUGCUUGCUAUAGCUAAUAAAAAAAAUGAGCUAGCUUAGCAAAGGGUGGUGGGGUGACUGGGCAGGCAGCUAACGUUUAGCUAUGUUAGUUUUCAGCAAUAAUAUGGGCUACAAACAAAGUUGAUUUAGCAACUAAUUCAGUAAUUACAGCAAUUUUACCAACCGUUACAUUUUGCGAAAUGUCUUGACUCUCCUCAGAAAUGUAGCUUAAUUAACUAUGUCCACGUAGAAGCAGUAAAGAAGACAACUGUAGAGUAUAAACUUGCAAAGAGAUGUUUUGGCUGUUCAGAGGACCGUUCAAAUGAACACAGCGUCUGUAUUACUCUGCAAGGAUCGUGGGAUUGAUAUCGCAAAGGAAAUAGUGACAUUUUAGCGGCGCCUAGAGGUUAAACGGAGAACUACC
ensembl:lncRNA